GAGUUUGAUCUUGGCUCAGGAUGAACGCUAGCGGCAGGCCUAAUACAUGCAAGUCGAGGGGCAGCGCGGUAGCAAUACUGGCGGCGACCGGCGCACGGGUGCGUAACACGUAUACAAUCUGCCUUUAACAGGGGGAUAGCCUUUCGAAAGAGAGAUUAAUACCCCAUAAUAGAGAUUCUGGCAUCAGGAUUUUUUGUAAAGCUCCGGCGGUUAGAGAUGAGUAUGCGUCUGAUUAGCUAGUUGGUGAGGUAACGGCUCACCAAGGCGACGAUCAGUAGGGGAUCUGAGAGGACUACCCCCACCACGA
rnacentral:rRNA from 1 species